rnacentral:rRNA from 1 species
UACGUAGGGUCCGAGCGUUGUCCGGAGUUACUGGGCGUAAAGCGCGCGCAGGCGGCGGUGCUGGCCCGGCGUGAAAGCCCCCGGCUCAACCCGGGGAGAGUCGUCGGGGACCGCACCGCUUGAGGGCGGUAGGGGCUGGUGGAAUGCCUGGUGUAGUGGUGAAAUGCGUAGAGAUCAGGCAGAACACCUGGGGCGAAGGCGGCCAGCUGGGCCGUCC